rnacentral:rRNA from 1 species
UACGGGGGGGGCAAGCGUUGUUCGGAUAUACUGGGCGUAAAGCGCACGUAGGCGGCGCCGUAAGUCAGGGGUGAAAUCCCGGAGCUCAACUCCGGAACUGCCCUUGAAACUGCAGUGCUAGAAUCCUGGAGAGGCGAGUGGAAUUCCGAGUGUAGAGGUGAAAUUCGUAGAUAUUCGGAAGAACACCAGUGGCGAAGGCGACUCGCUGGACAGGUAUUGACGCUGAGGUGCGAAAGCGUGGGGAGCAAACAGG